GAGGGAGGUUGGCAGUAUUUUUGAAGCUGUUGCAAAUGAGACUUGUAAUGAAGCCCUUGCCGAGGAGAAAAAAAGAUCACAAGAUGCCGAAAAAUUUUCUGUGUCCUUUGAUGCUGGAUGGCAGACUAGAGGUAGCGGUCGAAACUAUGCAAGUUUGUCAGGGCAUGCGAGUAUGAUUGGAGAGAAGACAGGAAAAAUUCUUUCAUAUGCUGUUCAGUGCAAGAAAUGCAGAUUCUGUGAUAAAGCACCAGUAUCAGCAGAAGUGAAUAAACAUGAUUGUAGAAGAAAUUGGGAAAAAUCCUCAAAGGCAAUGGAACCAGAUAUGGCUUUAGAAAUGUUGCAUGACUUA